UCGACGGUGAUGGAGGGCUUGCCCUUCUGAUCAGUGGCGAACGGGUGAGUAACACGUGAGUAACCUGCCCUUCACUCUGGGAUAACGCUGGGAAACCGGUGCUAAUACUGGAUAUGACCUACUCGGGCAUCCGAUGUGGGUGGAAAGAUUUAUUGGUGGAGGAUGGACUCGCGGCCUAUCAGCUUGUUGGUGAGGUAAUGGCUCACCAAGGCGACGACGGGUAGCCGGCCUGAGAGGGCGAUCGGCCACACUGGGACUGAGACACGGCCCAGACUCCUACGGGAGGCAGCAGUGGGGAAUAUUGCACAAUGGGCGAAAGCCUGAUGCAGCGACGCCGCGUGAGGGAUGAAGGCCUUCGGGUUGUAAACCUCUUUCAGCAGGGAAGAAGCAGCUGGGUUUUCUCAGGUGUGACGGUACCUGCAGAAGAAGCACCGGCUAACUACGUGCCAGCAGCCGCGGUAAUACGUAGGGUGCAAGCGUUGUCCGGAAUUAUUGGGCGUAAAGAGCUUGUAGGCGGUUUGUCGCGUCUGCUGUGAAAUUUCGGGGCUCAACCCCGAACUUGCAGUGGGUACGGGCAGACUAGAGUGUGGUAGGGGAGACUGGAAUUCCUGGUGUAGCGGUGAAAUGCGCAGAUAUCAGGAGGAACACCGAUGGCGAAGGCAGGUCUCUGGGCCACUACUGACGCUGAGAAGCGAAAGCAUGGGGAGCGAACAGGAUUAGAUACCCUGGUAGUCCAUGCCGUANACGUUGGGAACUAGGUGUGGGCCUNAUUCCACGAGGUCCGUGCCGCAGCUAACGCAUUAAGUUCCC
rnacentral:rRNA from 1 species